GGAUUGUGGCUCAGUGGCAGAGCCCUUGCCUUGCAGGUAUGAGGCACUGGGUUCAAUCCUCAGCACCA
rnacentral:tRNA from 1 species